UGCAGUGUCCGUCUAUAUCCAAGAACACCUCCAGCUGCGCCAGGGCGUCCGAAUUCCUGCCCUUGGCUCCUUCGACGUUGUCCCCAGAUGGGUCAAGGACGGGGACGAGACUGUGAUUUUCCUGAUGCCCACAUUCCGCCUGGCCAGGAAUCUUGUCAUCACCCACACCCUCACGGAUGACAAGGAGUACCUGCCAGGCCAUAAGGAGCUGGAGCCCCUCAAAGUGGCUGAGGUGGCCGCCAACGCCUGCAUGUCCCAGCAGAGAGUGGAGAACUGCAUUCAAGGCACCACGUCCCUCAUCUCUCGCUGCCUGGGGAAGGGGGAGAAC